rnacentral:lncRNA from 1 species
CCACACAUAUGUCCCAGAAUUGCAAACCAAGAAAAAGGAAUCAGAAAAACAUCUCUAUCUCAGCAACAUGUACUUGUCAUGACGAGAUUCAACAGAAUUGAAUUGUAAAAACAAGGAAUUAAAGAAUGAAAGAGUGAAGAGCUACUGCACACCAAACAACAAAGAAGGCAACCAUGAUUCAUCAACACUCCUGCUAAAAUACAAUGCCAACAACUCCUGAAGGAUGGAAUCAUAGAAAACAAAACUUUACAUCAAACUCCAAACUGACUGAAAGUCCAUUAAUGAAUACAUCGGCAAAUCUCUUACAACUCAUGAACAAGUGAGCCCCAAGUCACCAAAAUGAAAAGAAGUAUAGAGUAAGUCCGGAGUCUACUAAGUUGCAUUUGGAUAUAUAUAUAUAUAUAUAUAUAUACACACACACACACACACACACACACACAAAUUAGAGGACUGACAUCUUCAAUUAUCUCAAGCCAAUAGACCUCUAUUUUAAGCUUUAUAUUGAUCUAGGACAAGGAGAAUGGAAUUUCUAGGAGAAAAUGGUCUAUAAGAUACAGAUUUGAAAGAAAAGGCAUUUGCUGAAAUUUUAACUUCAGACAAAAAUGUUCUCAUAAAAAAUGACAUAUAGAAAAUACAGAAAUACAUGAUUUAGGCCUAACCAUGAAUUCUUGGGCUCAAAACAGAACAAGGGAACUUGAUGCUACAAGAAUCUCAGAACAACAGUGAAGAAUUAAAAAAAAAAGAAAACCAAAAAAUUAAUCUAUGAAAGAAUACAAUUAGACUUGAUCAGAAAUUCAGAAAUUAUAAAGUGGGCUCUACAGAUAACUUCAAUCAUGUUGAACUUCACUCCUGCAUCAGCGGUCAUAUCUAGCCACAAUACAUCGGAAUCCCAGAACACCAGCGAAUAAUUCAAAUAAAGAUCACCAAAAUUUUGAAUUUAUGAAAGAAGACAACUCAACUCGAUCCAAAAUUAUUAUCUGGACUUCAAAGUUAACUCCAAUCCAUGUUGAACUUGAUAUAUUCCUGCAUCAGUGAUCAUAUCUAGCCACUAUACACUAUAAUCCCAGAACAACAACAGUGAAGAAUUUGAUUAAAGAACACAAAAAAUCUGAAUUUAUGAAAGAUUACAAUUCUACUAAAUCUAAAAUUAUUAUCUGGACUCCACAGAUAACUCCAAUCCAUGUUCAACUUGAUAUACUCCUCUAUCAGUGGUCAUUUCUAGCUACAACACAGUACUCCUCUAUCAGUGGUCAUUUCUAGCUACAACACAGUCAAAUCUGGGAAUAGGGUAAUCCUAAUUUAUUGCACUUAACAACUGAUAAUGUAUAAAUAAAAAUCUUUUUCAAUAUUAUACUUAGAAAAGGAGAAGAAAAUGCCUACAAGGAAGUAUGCAUCCACAACCAAUCAGGAAAGAAGUAUAGCUAAUCGGACUGAUCUAAUCAACAUGUCUUCUUACCAUGUGGAUUUUGUGCUGCUAUAUCAUCCCUACUAGUAAUUGAUGAUGCACUAUAGAUCUGAAUGUUGGACAGUUAAGAAAUAACAUUUACAAAAAAAAAAAGUUUGUCGUUUAGAUGAGAAUAUUGAGAUUGAUACAUGGAGUUACUAGGAAAGAUAUAAAAAGUCAUUUGUAAAUAAAUUAGGGCAUAGCUUCAAUAUAAGAUAAGAUGAGAGAGAAUCAUUUAGGAUGAUAUGAACAUGUGCAGAGGAGACGUAUAUAUAUUGUAGAUAUAAGAGAUGAAGCAAUUGCUAUUAGCGAUAUGAUGGGUGAUGGAAAAAGACUAAUAAGAUAUUACUAGACACUAUAAAUAAUGAUUUAAAUACUAACAAGUUAACUAAGGAUGUGAUUUUUUACGAAGUUCAAUAGUAGCAAAAGAUCCAUAUAUUACUCCUGCUAAAUGAAAUGAGAUGUACAAGGAUACAAAUGGAAUUUGUAACAGUGUGUGUGCGUGCAUGUUUCUAUGCAUGUGUUUGCAAGUGAGAGAGGAAAAGAAAGAGAGAAGGGGGAGCAUUUAGAGGAAGCAUAAGUUUAUGUAGGAAAGUGAUGACAGGAGAAAAGAAAGUGCUAAACAGAUUUGACUCCUUCAAAAACCACUCGAACCUCCUUGGCACCACUAAUUGUCCAUUGAGUUCCAUAUAUAAUAUGCAGGUAAGUGGAAGAUAUGACCCAUCCAAUGUAAAUUGGAUAAUUAAUCCUUUGAGAUCCUAAAUUCCAUCUCUUCUUUGUUUCUUUUUUUGUAUCAUAAUCAAUAAGUAUGAAACUCAUUAUCAAUAACAAUAGGGAUACUAGGUAGUAAAGCUUUCAACAGGAUAGACAUUAGCCCUUGCAAACAGGUAGUCAUCAGGCAAAAAGAUUUAUAAAGAAGUUGAACAUCAUUGCAUCUUCAAAUAUACUUGAAUUGAAUAUAUUAUAAUAAAAAGUAUCAAGUUGUUUAUCUCAUAUCCACUAUAUGACUGGAUAUUGCUGCAAGUCCCAUAGAAGCCAAAAUGGUAAGACUAUCAAUGAAAAUAAGCAUGGAAAAUUGCAAAUGGAGAGAUCAUCACCGAGAAACUUUUUUACUUCAGCUCUUACAAGAGAAACAUUGCCAUAUAGUCCUAAACUUCAACACCACCAAAGGUACAUAAGUAACCUUCUAGGAAUUAGAACCGAAAAUUCAUUAUUUCAUAUAUUAGUGUAACUAUAAGAUAUUGUGUCAUCCAAUGCACCAAAAAAUUAGCAAUUCCAUGAUCAUAAAUUCCAAGAAGUAAACUCAAUGGGACAGAUAGUUGUCUAAUAGUCAAGGUGAUCAUUAAGUCUCUUAUACAAUAGCUCAAAGGAGCACUUAAAAUUGUUCUCUCUCUUGAGACUCAACCAGUCUAGCUUAUUGUUAUGCAGGGAGCCUAGGCAAGUACAAGUGCCAGAGCAACCACCACCCAUAGAAAUAGAACAUGAAACAGUACAAUGACUUAAUGGGGUCAGAAAUGUGAACCCAACAGAACAGGAAAGCCUCAUAGUUGAACUUGAUGGCAGUCUUUUCUGCUCUCUUGUUAAGUCUAACUGAAUGCCUUUUUAGGGCCUUGAUGAUUCACACACCCUAGGAUGCCUGGAGAAGGAAAUAGGGGAAAUAUUCAAUUACUUCUUAAGGUCGUGGGCUCCUGAUGCUUGAAACAGGACUUCCAAGUCCUUGCUGUCAAAGAACUCAAGCAUGAGUGGCAGUCACGAUGAAGGUUGCAAAUGCAGCUGACGUGGCAUGUGGAAGGCACGACUUGUGAAAGUGAGUGAGACAGCAUACAGUCAAGGGAGAUGUGGUAAUUAAUGGACAUGCACAUAACUUGUAUGUCUGAUUUGCAAAGAGGAUGGGGGAAGGGAAGUUGAAGCUCCAUAAUAGAAACUCAAAUGUAGGAAAGGGUCCAGUGUAGUCAAUAUCUGAUUGUUAAGAACAAUGGCUCACCAUUGUUAUACUGUAGAUACCUAGAGAUAAUUCCCUCCCAGCUUCUUCUUUCAUUUUAUCAAGCCGCCCUUUAGCGACAAUGAUGACCAUUCCUUGGUAGCUGAUAAUAACAAUCCAAUUUGAAAUCUAAUUGAAAAGAAGUACUGUUUUCCAUAAAAGAUUAACACAAACUAGUACCUAAGAAUGCAUUCUCAAUUCCAUCAAUGUAUAAACUGUUUUCCAAAAGGACAAACACAAACUAGUAUCUAAGAAUGUAUUCUCAAUUCCAUAAAUGUAUAAAGCAGUAUCCUAAAUGCUCUUCACAAAAGCAGUUUUAAACACACUUUUCAUCUCUUUUGAAGAGAAAAUCCUUGGUGAGAUACAAUGUUCAUGCCAUGGUUGCAUUAGUAACUUCCAUAAAUGCAAUACAAUUGCUACAACAAGGCAAAUAAAC